rnacentral:tRNA from 1 species
GUCGGCCCGGACCGGACCGGCGGUCGGGGCCGGUACCGCCGGCCGUCCCGGUGGGCCGAACCGGGGACGGUCCGGCCCGGUUCCGGGAACCGGCCC